rnacentral:rRNA from 1 species
GAAUAUUGGGCAAUGGAGGCAACUCUGACCCAGCCAUGCCGCGUGGAGGAUGAAGGUCCUCUGGAUUGUAAACUUCUUUUAUUUGGGAAGAAAUGCCAAUUUUCUAAUUGGUUUGACGGUACCAGAUGAAUAAGCACCGGCUAACUCCGUGCCAGCAGCCGCGGUAAUACGCAGGGUGCAAGCGUUAUCCGGAGUCACUGGGUUUAAAGGGUGCGUAGGCGGGCAUAUAAGUCAGUGGUGAAAUCCCCGAGCUUAACUUGGGAACUGCCGUUGAUACUAUGUGUCUUGAAUAUCGCGGAGGUAAGCGGAAUAUGUCAUGUAGCGGUGAAAUGCAUAGACAUGACAUAGAACACCGAUUGCGAAGGCAGCUUACUACACGAUCAUUGACGCUGAGGCACGAAAGCGUGGGGAGCAAACAGG